GACGAACGCUGGCGGCGUGCUUAACACAUGCAAGUCGAACGAAAAGAGGGAAAGAGCUUGCUCUUUCCGGAAUUGAGUGGCAAACGGGUGAGUAACACGUAAACAACCUGCCUUCAGGAUGGGGACAACAGACGGAAACGACUGCUAAUACCGAAUAAGUUCCAAGGGCCGCAUGGCCCAUGGAAGAAAAGGUGGCCUCUACCUGUAAGCUAUCGCCUGAAGAGGGGUUUGCGUCUGAUUAGCUGGUUGGAGGGGUAACGGCCCACCAAGGCGACGAUCAGUAGCCGGUCUGAGAGGAUGAGCGGCCACCCUGGAACUGAGACACGGUCCAGACUCCUACGGGAGGCAGCAGUGGGGAAUCUUCCGCAAUGGGCGAAAGCCUGACGGAGCAACGCCGCGUGAGUGAUGACGGCCUUCGGGUUGUAAAACUCUGUGAUCCGGGACGAAAAGGCAGAGUGCGAAGAACAAACUGCACUGACGGUACCGGAAAAGCAAGCCACGGCUAACUACGUG
rnacentral:rRNA from 1 species